AGGCCUACUUAUGCUGAAUGUGUGAGGUUCAUUUCAAUUUCCCUAAAACACAAACAUGUCGAUGCAGCUAUAGGGGGUGUCAAUCCAGUCCACUGUUAUUGCUAGCAAUCAAGACGUGUACAGAAGCAACUAAGUCAAGCCAGAUUAUAAUGAUGGUGGGUUUCUAGUAACAAUCCUAGGUCAUGAUUCAAACAAGUAAAAAUGAGAACUUAAGAGCCCUACUCAAUCAUUGGGUCGAGUAGAACCAACAUGUGACAAAAUUAAGUAACUAAAAUGCAAUCAACAGGGGAUACAAAUAAUAGGUAAAUAAAAGUGCAAUCAACAGGGGAUACAAAUAAAUCUAAUAGAAGUCCUAAGGAUGGAUUCAUUGAUAAAGGAAACUCUAGGGUUCAUCAGAUGGCUAAUAGGUGAAAGGUAGAUACCCUUGACGAUAGAUUCAAAAAUUGGGUCAAUCCAUUGUCGUGACAAAGGCCCCCAUAACUCUACCACUUCCUAAUCUCAACUGUCGUUGAUGAAACAUAGCAGAGCAGGUUUUAAGAAACAAUCUACCAAAGUCAAUAAGCAGACAAGCCAAUGUCUUGGUCGAGUCUACAAAUCUCUGGAAUUCGUAGAUCAGACAUCCAUUUGAAUGUCUUUUGGACGAUGGACGUCUAUGAUCGAAUCUCCACAUUAGCCAGCAAAAAUCGCAUAGGGGCCAAGCGAAUCCAGAAGGGUUCUAACCUAAUCUUAACCACCUGGCUAACCUAGAGAUUACCUUAAUCUAAUCCAUCCUCAAAAACCCUAAUCACUACUCAAGCAACAUAUCUAAGAACACAAACCCAGAAAUUACUGAAAUCAUACCAAAAUGUAGAUUAAAAGUAAUUAAGUUUAUUCAAAGAACUAAAUGCAAAAACGAAAUAGAUUAAGAGUAAUUAAGUUUUGAAGAUUCAAGAACACAAAGGAAAACUAAAGGAUAAAGGCUAGAUCCGUUGGACAAAUCCCAAAGUGAUCUAUUUAUACUAAAAUGUU
rnacentral:sRNA from 1 species